rnacentral:rRNA from 1 species
UACGGGGGAGCAAGCGUUGUUCGGAUUUACUGGGCGUAAAGGGCGCGUAGGCGGCCACUGCAAGUCGGUUGUGAAAUCUCCGGGCUUAACCCGGAGCGGUCAAGUGAUACUGUCGUGCUAGAGUGCGGAAGGGGCUACUGGAAUUCUCGGUGUAGCGGUGAAAUGCGCAGAUAUCAGGAGGAACACCGGUGGCGAAGGCGGGUCUCUGGGCAACAACUGACGCUGAGGAGCGAAAGCGUGGGGAGCGAACAGG